CCUACGGGAGGCUGCAUUAGGGAAUAUUGGGCAAUGGACGCAAGUCUGACCCAGCCACGCCGCGUGAAGGAUGACUGCCCUAUGGGUUGUAAACUUCUUUUGUAUGGGAAGAAACCUCCGAACGUGUUCGGAGCUGACGGUACCAUAAGAAUAAGCAUCGGCUAACUCCGUGCCAGCAGCCGCGGUAAUACGGAGGAUGCAGGCGUUGUCCGGUUUCAAUGGGGCUAAGGCGGAGAAUUGCGUCAGUUUAGAAAGCUCGCAGCUUAACUGUGAAAAUGCCAUUGAAACUGAUUUUCUUGAGUUCGAUUGAGGUAGAUGGAAUGUAUCAUGUAGCGGUGAAAUGCUUAGAUAUGAUACAGAACACCAAUUGCGAAGGCAGUCUACUAAGUCGAUACUGACGCUGAGGCACGAAAGCAUGGGGAGCAAACAGGAUUAGAUACCCGUGUAGUC
rnacentral:rRNA from 1 species